CGCCCUCCCACAUGGGCAAGGAUAUGGAGUAAUGCAAAAUUAACGUCCAUAUCAAACCUAAUAUUAAUUUUAAUUUACAAUCGACUAUGUGACUCGAAUCUGAAACAAUUUCGUCGGUUGUAGAAAGUCGAGGAAAAGAGCCUAUUUAAGGUAUAGAGAGAAAUGUAGAACGAUGGAACUGGGUCUACCUAGACGGCCAAGGAUAACAAUUGUGUAGAAGAGAGAUCGCAAUCAUUUCCAUUUAUGAAACAGCGUUAACAUAGCAGACGACCGACCAGAUUCGACUCGGAUUCGAAGAAUUCUUACGUAACAAUUUCAAUGUCAUUUUUACCUAUCGAAAUUUGUAGCAAAAUUCACGCAAUAAACUUUUCUUUCGCA